UUGAUAUAGUGGCCCUUCACAGACAGUUAUUCCCCACCCAUCCCCUCAAGACACACCACUGAGACUUGUGCAGGUUUAUACUUGUUGAUGUUUCAGACUUACACGUAAAUAUCUUUUGUGGUGGUAACUCUGCUCUAUCGCUAACACAGUCCAGUGACCCCAGAGCCACACUGGCUGUAAACAUGACUCAGAAGCUGUGUGAUUACAGCAGUUCCAAGCCUGUAGUUGAGGGUAAUCUUCUAACUCUGAAGUCAGGUGUGUGGAAGGGCCGAAGGUUAUGAGUAAAUGAGCUGAAGAGAGACAGAUGCCAAACUCAGUCGUGAUUCAAAUGCACUUCUUGCUUAGAUUUAGAAAACAUUCUCUAUGCUUAAUAGUCUUUGACCCAUUUUUUCCAACCCGCCCAUUGUAAAUGACAGUCAUGGAGUGGAAAUUUCCCUAGCUUCUUCCUUGGAAGAGCAUCCAUUCACCCUGCAGUUCCCAAGGAGCGUCGCAAAAACGAGGCUAAGGGCACAGACAAAACUCGGGCAGUGAAGCAUGCAGAAACUUUGCUCCCUCUCCACGCAAAACCAGAGCAAAAGCUAGAGCUUCCUGUAAGAAGCGCAAGAUUCUUCCACCUGAGGAUGGCUCAAAGUGAUGUGGAACUAUCAGAAACAAAAUUGUAAAGAUAUAAUCACUCAUCGUUACAACCAGCGACAAAGGAAGUCAUCCAAAAGGUGACAGUGUGGCUGGCUACACAGGCAAGCUCAGAUCUUGAAAAGGUUGAAAAAAUGCAAAAGUUAAAAGAAAGCACACACUGGAAUUCCAAAGACGGUAUCUCAAAGUGAGAAGCCUGGAAGAAACUCCGCUCUGCAAGCAUGCUGAAGACCAAUACGAACAGUAACACUAGCAAUGAUAAUAAUAAAGCCAAACUUGGGACAGGAAGGAGAGAGAAAAGAGAAAUGUACUCCUGCGGGCAGACAUCAUAAUGUCAACAUACAAUACAAACACAGCAGAUGCACUUGAGUUUUAUUUCAGACUAUCUUCCCAAAGAAAUGAAAAUAUUCUAGAAAUUAAAAGAGUUGGGCCGGGCGCAGUGGCUCAUGCCUGUAAUCCCAGCACUUUGGGAGGCCGAGGCAGGUGGAUCACGAGGUCAAGAGAUUGAGACCAGCCUGGCCAACAUGGUGUAACCCCAUCUCUACUAAAAAUACAAAAAGUAGCUGGGCGUGGUGGCACGUGCCUGUAAUCCCAGCUACUCGGGAGUCUGAGGCAGGAGAAUC
rnacentral:lncRNA from 10 species